GACGAACGCUGGCGGCGUGCUUAACACAUGCAAGUCGAACGAUGAUCCGGAGCUUGCUUCGGGGAUUAGUGGCGAACGGGUGAGUAACACGUGAGUAACCUGCCCUUGACUCUGGGAUAAGCGCUGGAAACGGCGUCUAAUACCGGAUACGACCUGCCCCGGCAUCGGGUGCGGGUGGAAAGUUUUUCGGUCAAGGAUGGACUCGCGGCCUAUCAGCUUGUUGGUGAGGUAAUGGCUCACCAAGGCGACGACGGGUAGCCGGCCUGAGAGGGUGACCGGCCACACUGGGACUGAGACACGGCCCAGACUCCUACGGGAGGCAGCAGUGGGGAAUAUUGCACAAUGGGCGAAAGCCUGAUGCAGCAACGCCGCGUGAGGGAUGACGGCCUUCGGGUUGUAAACCUCUUUUAGUAGGGAAGAAGGGCCUUCGGGUUUGACGGUACCUGCAGAAAAAGCACCGGCUAACUACGUGCCAGCAGCCGCGGUAAUACGUAGGGUGCAAGCGUUGUCCGGAAUUAUUGGGCGUAAAGAGCUCGUAGGCGGUUUGUCGCGUCUGCUGUGAAAACCCGAGGCUCAACCUCGGGCCUGCAGUGGGUACGGGCAGACUAGAGUGCGGUAGGGGAGAAUGGAAUUCCUGGUGUAGCGGUGGAAUGCGCAGAUAUCAGGAGGAACACCGAUGGCGAAGGCAGUUCUCUGGGCCGUAACUGACGCUGAGGAGCGAAAGCGUGGGGAGCGAACAGGAUUAGAUACCCUGGUAGUCCACGCCGUAAACGUUGGGCGCUAGAUGUGGGGACCUUUCCACGGUUUCCGUGUCGCAGCUAACGCAUUAAGCGCCCCGCCUGGGGAGUACGGCCGCAAGGCUAAAACUCAAAGGAAUUGACGGGGGCCCGCACAAGCGGCGGAGCAUGCGGAUUAAUUCGAUGCAACGCGAAGAACCUUACCAAGGCUUGACAUAUACGAGAACGGGCCAGAAAUGGUCAACUCUUUGGACACUCGUAAACAGGUGGUGCAUGGUUGUCGUCAGCUCGUGUCGUGAGAUGUUGGGUUAAGUCCCGCAACGAGCGCAACCCUCGUUCUAUGUUGCCAGCACGUUAUGGUGGGAACUCAUAGGAGACUGCCGGGGUCAACUCGGAGGAAGGUGGGGAUGACGUCAAAUCAUCAUGCCCCUUAUGUCUUGGGCUUCACGCAUGCUACAAUGGCCGGUACAAAGGGCUGCGAUACCGUAAGGUGGAGCGAAUCCCAAAAAGCCGGUCUCAGUUCGGAUUGAGGUCUGCAACUCGACCUCAUGAAGUCGGAGUCGCUAGUAAUCGCAGAUCAGCAACGCUGCGGUGAAUACGUUCCCGGGCCU
rnacentral:rRNA from 1 species